GCGAGAGUGGUGGAACUGGCAGACACGCUAGAUUCAGGAUCUAGUGCCCUCACCGGUGUGCGGGUUCGAAUCCCGCCUCUCGCACCA
rnacentral:tRNA from 1 species